rnacentral:lncRNA from 1 species
CCCCUCCUCAUGUUGUGUUGAUUUAUAGUGUCCAGAUUGGUUAAGUUCCACCUUGCUCGAUGAAAGAUCUGCUUAUAGUACUUGAGAAAGGAAUUAUCAGUUCCUAAAUUCGGCUCGAGAGUCAAGUUAUUAUUAUGUUCUAUCAGAUCUAGUCCAUUAACAAAAUAGGAGUUGCUUCCUCUUUUGCAUUUAUGAUAAUUAGCGGAGUUGCAUGGUCUCACAAUGUUUAUGUGGUGGUUAGUUGCUCGGGCUUUUUUCUUGUAUUUCAAUACUAGAAAAUAGAAGAGGCUAUCAAUGUCAGCACAAAGCUGUUGGGCUAUAGCAAUGUAACUAAUCAAGUUUCACAACGGCCUGUUGGUUCUCAAUCGUUGUAGUUCAGAGCUGUAUGUUUAGUUUAAACUCGAGCUAACUCUGGCCGAUGUAGAUGGUUUCCAAUAUAAUGCUACAUAAUUUCCCCUUUUGUAUUCGUCACCCUUGUUUGGCACUACUUUUUUUAUCAGCAUAUGCAAACUUUCAUGUAACAUGCAAACUCUCAUGGAUCUGUACGUGUGUUUGUAAGAACUUGAAUGCUGGUUUGAUGAUUUAUUUUCUACGAAGUUGGGCAUAUAUUCAUGGCUGUUUCUUGAUAACAUUGCAUGUAACUGGGUUUCUUCAUUGCACUUAAAUAAGUCUGUUUUUAGCUUUGGCCUAUAUGCUGCCUAAUUAAACUUGAAAAUUAGAGAGAAACAAGAAAGAUCUGCUUAUAGUACUUGAGAAAGGAAUUAUCAGUUCCUAAAUUCGGCUCGAGAGUCAAGUUAUUAUUAUGUUCUAUCAGAUCUAGUCCAUUAACAAAAUAGGAGUUGCUUCCUCUUUUGCAUUUAUGAUAAUUAGCGGAGUUGCAUGGUCUCACAAUGUUUAUGUGGUGGUUAGUUGCUCGGGCUUUUUUCUUGUAUUUCAAUACUAGAAAAUAGAAGAGGCUAUCAAUGUCAGCACAAAGCUGUUGGGCUGUAGCAAUGUAACUAAUCAAGUUUCACAACGGCCUGUUGGUUCUCAAUCGUUGUAGUUCAGAGCUGUAUGUUUAGUUUAAACUCGAGCUAACUCUGGCCGAUGUAGAUGGUUUCCAAUAUAAUGCUACAUAAUUUCCCCUUUUGUAUUCGUCACCCUUGUUUGGCACUACUUUUUUUAUCAGCAUAUGCAAACUUUCAUGUAACAUGCAAACUCUCAUGGAUCUGUACGUGUGUUUGUAAGAACUUGAAUGCUGGUUUGAUGAUUUAUUUUCUACGAAGUUGGGCAUAUAUUCAUGGCUGUUUCUUGAUAACAUUGCAUGUAACUGGGUUUCUUCAUUGCACUUAAAUAAGUCUGUUUUUAGCUUUGGCCUAUAUGCUGCCUAAUUAAACUUGAAAAUUAGAGAGAAACAAGAAAACUAGGAGAAAUGCAUAGAUUUAAUUAGAGAGGAAGUGCAAUCAAGUAUUUGUUUACUUUUUAUUUAAGCAAGACAGUUUGUUGAACAUCUUCUGUUUUUAGAUUUUUGGACUCAAGAGCAACUCAGAAGUUUGAACAAAUGCUGCUAUGAUAAUAUUGCUGAAACAUAUGAGUGAUUUUACAGGGUAUAAUGGCAGAAGGUAUCAAAUCGAAGAUGUUAUGGCUUUUCUUCAUGGGAUGCAUGGUCGACCUACUUUCAUAUGGAAGUUGUUGUUGGUUCGAUGAACAAAGACUUGGUGUGUUCCAUAGUGUUUUGUAUAGUGACUAGACAUGAGUCUCUUAUGAACUUAGCCCGUAUUUUGUAACAUGUCACAGCUUAUAUGUCGACCUAUGUAUUUCCUUAGUGGUUGUAGCUAACUUGAGUGAAGAAAACUAAUGAAUCUUCUAUAUGUUGAAUAUAUAUGUAUUUAUCAAUGGUAUCUUGUGAUGAAUACAAGAGUAUAAUUGUUUAUAUAUGUAUUGGGUAUUGAACAUGAAUUGAACAUUAUGAAUGUAAUUUCAUUCAAAUAAUGGUGCAUUUGCAUUU